rnacentral:rRNA from 1 species
GACGAACGCUGGCGGCGUGCUUAACACAUGCAAGUCGAACGGAGAGACUCCAACUUUCUGGCGUGGACCAGAGGGGAACGGGGGAGUAACACGCGAGCAACCUGCCCCUAACUGUGGAAUAAGACCUGGAAACGGCGGAUAAUACAGGAGACGAGAUGGUGCAGCAUGGGCACCAUUUGGGAAGUUCGGCGGUUGGGUCUGGGCUCGAGGCCUAUCAGCUUGUUUGGGAGGUUAUGGCUGACCGAGGCGACGACGGGUACCCCGCCUGAGAGGGCGACCGGCCACACUGGGACUGAGGCACGGCACAGACUCCUACGGGAGGCAGCAGUGGGAAAUAUUGCACAAUGGGCGCAAGCCUGAUGCAGCGACGCCGCGUGAGGGAUGACGGUCUUCGGGUUGUAAACCACUUUCAGCAGUGACGAAGCGAGAGUGACGGUACCUGAAGAAGAAGCCCCGGCUAACUACGUG